AAGAACGACUCUCGGCAACGGAUAUCUCGGCUCUCGCAUCGAUGAAGAACGUAGCGAAAUGUGAUACUUGGUGUGAAUUGCAGAAUCCCGUGAACCAUCGAGUCUUUGAACGCAAGUUGCGCCCGAAGCCAUCAGGUCGAGGGCACGUCUGCCUGGGCGUCACACGC
rnacentral:rRNA from 1 species